CGCGUAGGCGGCUUGGCAAGUCAGAUGUGAAAUCCCCGGGCUUAACUUGGGAAUUGCAUCUGAAACUGUUGAGCUUGAGUCCUGGAGGGGAUAGUGGAGUUCCCAGUGUAGCGGUGAAAUGCGUAGAUAUUGGGAGGAACACCUGUGGCGAAGGCGGCUAUCUGGACAGUGACUGACGCUGAGGCGCGAAAGCUAGGGGAGCGAACG
rnacentral:rRNA from 1 species